GUCCCUGAAACGCAAUGGAUAGCGAGUUGGAAUUCUAAUCUAAAAGUCUGGGUUCGAAUCCCAUCUGGGAUA